CAGACUGACCCUAGCCACUAAUAAGGGCCUUU
rnacentral:piRNA from 1 species